rnacentral:rRNA from 1 species
AACGAACGCUGGCGGCAGGCCUAACACAUGCAAGUCGAGCGCUGUGGCAAUACAGAGCGGCGCACGGGGGAGUAACACGUGGGAACGUGCCCUUUGGUUCGGAAUAACUCAGGGAAACUUGAGCUAAUACCGGAUGAGCCCUAACGGGGAAAGAUUCAUCGCCGAAGGAGCGGCCCGCGUCGGAUUAGCUAGUUGGUGGGGUAAUAGCCUACCAAGGCAACGAUCCGUAGCUGGUUUGAGAGAACGACCAGCCACACUGGGACUGAGACACGGCCCAGACUCCUACGGGAGGCAGCAGUGGGGAAUCUUGGACAAUGGGGGAAACCCUGAUCCAGCCAUGCCGCGUGAGUGAUGAAGGCCCUAGGGCUGUAAAACUCUUUCGGCGGGGACGAUAAUGACGGUACCCGCAGAAGAAGCUCCGGCUAACUUCGUGCCAGCCGCCGCCGUAA